UUAAUGUCAGUUUUACAUGGUAGGGGGACAACUGAAAGCUAUCUAUAAGUAUUACUUAGAUACGUUUUUAAGUUUGAGGGAAAGCUUCACGUUCGUGUUAGCAUACUGGCUUAACCUUAACUUUUACCCUACAUCUGUAUUGAAAUCAAAGUAUUCAAGAUGUUUUACCAUGAUCAUUUUAAGAUAUGAGCCACACAAAGUAUCAAAUAUAUUAAAGAAUAACUACUCAUUACGCUUGGAUGAAUGAAAUAGUAUUUUUUUUUAUUAUACAAUUAGUGUGACACGAACAAGUGAGUGCGAUUGUGUGAACAGAUUCAACAAUGGACACAGCAGGGAACACUAUAUACUUAGGGCAAACCAUUAACAUAUAACGUUGCAAAUAUACUAUACUUUAUGCCAUUACAAUACUUAUAAUAGCCCUGAGCAAAUUCAAAAUUGGUUUAGAUCAAUGGUCAUACCAUGGUUGGCUGUGCAGCGUUUGGAUGCUCCAAUCGGUCCGAGAAGGGUUACCACAUGUAUGGCUUCCCCAAGGACCAAGAGCGCAGGAAGAAAUGGAUGGCAAUGGUCAGCCGUCAAAACUUACAAGUGACAGGGGUCAGCAACAGUCAAAAACGAUGUAAUGUACACUUUGAACUAAUUCACUGCCACAAAAGGAGAAGGGAUGUUGAAGCUGAGGCCCGAUGCAGUACCAACAGCUUUCAUUCAUCGCCCUAAGCCGAAGAGGAGGAAACCCCCUUCUGUGAGGGUGCCUCCAGAACCAAGUGCAACGGACCACACAUAUUUCACCAAAUUAAACUUCGAGAUUGAGGGAGAAAUUGAGGUGGAUUUCAAGAGCGAUGAAAAGGACAUGACAGGAGACAGCGAGAGCAAUCAAGUUGGCCACUUUGCCAGGGGCAGGUGACUCAGGGGCAGGUGAUCCAGGGGCAGCUGCUCCAGGGACCAGACUGCCAGGGACUGAUGGGGCGACUAUGGAGGACCUAAUAAGGCAACUAGAAAAGGAAAAAUUAAUGAGAAGGAGAGCAGAGAGGGCUCUUGUAAAACAAAAAAGAAUAAAUUUGGCACCAAGAAAGAGAAACAAUUCAGUCAACAAGAAGUUAAAACGAAAAAGCCAUACAGGUUAAAUUCACCGCCCAUCAUAAUCAGCAUUGUUGAAGCGGCGGCAUCU